rnacentral:rRNA from 1 species
GCGUAAGCGCGCGCAGGCGGCCUUUUAAGUCUGAUGUGAAAGCCCCCGGCUCAACCGGGGAGGGUCAUUGGAAACUGGAAGGCUUGAGUGCAGAAGAGAAGAGCGGAAUUCCACGUGUAGCGGUGAAAUGCGUAGAGAUGUGGAGGAACACCAGUGGCGAAGGCGGCUCUUUGGUCUGUAACUGACGCUGAGGCGCGAAAGCGUGGGGAGCGAACAGGAUUAGAUACCCUGGUAGUCCACGCCGUAAACGAUGAGUGCUAAGUGUUGGGGGGUUUCCGCCCCUCAGUGCUGCAGCUAACGCAUUAAGCACUCCGCCUGGGGAGUACGGCCGCAAGGCUGAAACUCAAAGGAAUUGACGGGGGCCCGCACAAGCGGUGGAGCAUGUGGUUUAAUUCGAAGCAACGCGAAGAACCUUACCAGGUCUUGACAUCCCGCUGACCGGUCUGGAGACAGAUCUUCCCCUUCGGGGGCAGCGGUGACAGGUGGUGCAUGGUUGUCGUCAGCUCGUGUCGUGAGAUGUUGGGUUAAGUCCCGCAACGAGCGCAACCCUUGAUCUUAGUUGCCAGCAUUUAGUUGGGCACUCUAAGGUGACUGCCGGUGACAAACCGGAGGAAGGUGGGGAUGACGUCAAAUCAUCAUGCCCCUUAUGACCUGGGCUACACACGUGCUACAAUGGAUGGUACAAAGGGCUGCAAGACCGCGAGGUUUAGCCCAUCCCAUAAAACCAUUCU